rnacentral:lncRNA from 1 species
UCACAAAAAAUUGGAAGGAAAUGCAUUGCAUGAUGGAUUUAAUUGAUUUAAGUUGAUUAUAUAACGAGUUGGCAAACAUUGUGAGUAUAGAAAAUAUGUAGUAAUUAAUGAAAGAAGUUUAAACACACCAUAAUCAUUUAUAUGUAAUGAAUUAGUACAAAAAGAAUUCAAAACAAAACCAUAUAUAUAAAUAUUUUAGCAUAUUUUCACAAAAACAUAAGUGAUAUUUUAGCAUAUUUUAGCAUAUUUUCAUAAUAAAAGAAUGAUAAAAUGCAAAAAAAGUAUCCAACAAACAAGUCCAAAAUUUAAAAACACAUAAUUUUGAGAUAAUUGAUUUUACAUCCUACUUUAAUAAAAACGAACGCCUAAGACAAAGAAACUAAAAGAAAGGAAAAACAUAAAAUAAACAAAUAAAUUAAAAUAAACAAAUAAUAAAACAAAAAGAAAAAAAAAGAAUAAGGAAAGGGCUCACCUGGAUUCGAAAUCA